rnacentral:rRNA from 1 species
UACGGAGGAUGCAAGCGUUAUCCGGAAUUAUUGGGCGUAAAGCGUCCGCAGGUGGCAGUUCAAGUCUGCUGUCAAAGACCGGGGCUUAACUUCGGAAAGGCAGUGGAAACUGAACAGCUAGAGUAUGGUAGGGGCAGAGGGAAUUCCUGGUGUAGCGGUGAAAUGCGUAGAGAUCAGGAAGAACAUCGGUGGCGAAGGCGCUCUGCUGGACCAUAACUGACACUCAGGGACGAAAGCGUGGGGAGCGAACAGG